rnacentral:rRNA from 1 species
UACGUAGGCAGCAAGCGUUGUUCGGAGUUACUGGGCGUAAAGGGUGUGUAGGCGGUUUGGUAAGUCUGGUGUGAAAUCUCCCGGCUCAACUGGGAGGGUGCGCCGGAAACUGCCGGACUCGAGUGCGGGAGAGGAGAGUGGAAUUCCUGGUGUAGCGGUGAAAUGCGUAGAUAUCAGGAGGAACACCGGUGGUGUAGACGGCUCUCUGGACCGUAACUGACGCUGAGACACGAAAGCGUGGGUAG